rnacentral:rRNA from 1 species
UACGGGGGGGGCAAGCGUUGUUCGGAAUUACUGGGCGUAAAGGGUUUGUAGGUGGCCAACUAAGUCAGACGUGAAAUCCCUCAGCUUAACUGGGGAACUGCGUCUGAUACUACUUGGCUAGAGUAUGGGAGAGGGCAGUGGAAUUCCCGGUGUAGCGGUGAAAUGCGUAGAUAUCGGGAGGAACAUCAGUGGCGAAGGCGGCUGCCUGGCCCAAUACUGACACUCAGGUGCGACAGCGUGGGGAGCAAACAGG